UGGGGGAAUAUUGGACAAUGGGGGGAACCCUGAUCCAGCCAUGCCGCGUGUGUGAAGAAGGCCUUAUGGUUGUAAAGCACUUUAAGCGAGGAGGAGGCUACUAGUAUUAAUACUACUGGAUAGUGGACGUUACUCGCAGAAUAAGCACCGGCUAACUCUGUGCCAGCAGCCGCGGUAAUACAGAGGGUGCGAGCGUUAAUCGGAUUUACUGGGCGUAAAGCGUGCGUAGGCGGCCAUUUAAGUCAAAUGUGAAAUCCCCGAGCUUAACUUGGGAAUUGCAUUCGAUACUGGAUGGCUAGAGUAUGGGAGAGGAUGGUAGAAUUCCAGGUGUAGCGGUGAAAUGCGUAGAGAUCUGGAGGAAUACCGAUGGCGAAGGCAGCCAUCUGGCCUAAUACUGACGCUGAGGUACGAAAGCAUGGGGAGCAAACAGGAUUAGAUACCCUGGUAGUCCAUGCCGUAAACGAUGUCUACUAGCCGUUGGGGCCUUUGAGGCUUUAGUGGCGCAGCUUAACGCGAUAAGUAGACCGCCUGGGGAGU
rnacentral:rRNA from 1 species